rnacentral:lncRNA from 13 species
UGAACUCACAACCGCUGGGCCGGCUGCAAGUUCCCCGCCCCUACAGCUUUUGGUCACCUUGACACAGGGACCCUAAAACGCAUUAAAUUCAUCUCUCCCUAUCUCUCUCUCUUCUCGCUCUCUCUUUUUUUCUUUGUCUCUGUCUCCUCUCUCCUCUCCUAUCUACUUUCUCUCUGUUCUGUCUAUUCUUUCUCUCUUUUUUUGUCUCCUCUCUCCUCUUUCCCUCCUGCUUCUGUUUCUUUUGACAGAAGAGACAGUUACUCCUUUUUUAUCCUAAACGGGCAAAGAGGAAUGGUAGUUUCUUAUUUAAAGUUUGAUUCCCUAAAACAGAGAAAAAAACUACACCCAAGUCGUCGGGGGCAGAAUUUUCUCUUGGACAUGAAAAAAAGGAAGAACGAGGCCUCAAUGAUAGAAUAAGAAGAAGAAAAGGAAAGAGAACAGAAUUAUUUCCAGGGGUGUAAACUCGAUUAGAGUUCCUUGAAGUCAGUGGUCACUUAGCCAAUGGAGAAUAUUAUCCACCUCAAGAGUAACAGGUCUAAACCACUAUAUAUUGGCCAACAGAAGUCUAACAAAACUGGUGAAUUUACAAUAAAGACAGAACCACAUAUAGGAUUGACAGACAAAGGAUGGGUGCCCCCCAGAUGGGAGACCAGUCUGAUGCCUGCCCAGCCACGUCCUCAGAGGGAUGUUUCAGAGCGUCUUGGCUAAUAUGUACCUGUAUAAACCCUGGGCCUGGCCACCUCAGAAUUUUCAGUUCUGAGAUGAAUCACAAUUAUGCCUUAUGACAUCCCCAUGGAACCUUGGGUGAAGGCCCAUACAAGCCCCAUAGCCUUCCAGCUGUGGGACUACAUAUAUACACACUCACUGUCUCACUCACACCGAGGUUAUGGAAAACAACCGAAAGCUAAAUUACCGAAGCCUCUCAUGAGGCAACCUGAGCCUCCAGUGACAUCUCACGGAACAAACAUGGGUGUAAAACUCCUCUGCAAAGGUUUCUUUGAAAACUUUGAAAAGAAAAUAUGGUUCAGAAAAGUUUUCCCAACAGAAAUGACUUCCCACUUUUCUCCAUCCUGCAAAUCAUUUGAAAGCUCCUACUCAAGUUGCAUCUGCGUUGAACAGUCUGUGCCAUGCCAGGCCUCUUUGUUUUAUGGAUUCAUAAGAUAUAUGUCAUAUUUUCAUUCUGACCACCCUCCACACUUCAACUGGAUAUCCACAGAGCCUCCCCCUCAAGCUGCCAGUGAAGUGAAUGCAGUCACCGUUAUCAGCAAUGCUUUGUACAAGCAACUCACAAACCCUGCUAUGAUGGAUUUACUGCAGUAG